GACGAACGCUGGCGGCGUGCCUAAUACAUGCAAGUCGAACGCACAGUUUAUACCGUAGCUUGCUACACCAUAGACUGUGAGUUGCGAACGGGUGAGUAACGCGUAGGUAACCUGCCUGGUAGCGGGGGAUAACUAUUGGAAACGAUAGCUAAUACCGCAUAAUAUUGAUUAUUGCAUGAUAAUUAAUUGAAAGGUGCAAUUGCACCACUACCAGAUGGACCUGCGUUGUAUUAGCUAGUAGGUGAGGUAACGGCUCACCUAGGCGACGAUACAUAGCCGACCUGAGAGGGUGAUCGGCCACACUGGGACUGAGACACGGCCCAGACUCCUACGGGAGGCAGCAGUAGGGAAUCUUCGGCAAUGGACGAAAGUCUGACCGAGCAACGCCGCGUGAGUGAAGAAGGUUUUCGGAUCGUAAAGCCCUGUUGUAAGAGAAGAACGGGUGUGAGAGUGGAAAGUUCACACUGUGACGGUAUCUUACCAGAAAGGGACGGCUAACUACGUG
rnacentral:rRNA from 1 species